rnacentral:tRNA from 2 species
GCCCCCAUCGUCUAGCGGCCUAGGACGUCGCCCUUUCACGGCGGUAGCACGGGUUCGAAUCCCGUUGGGGGUGCCA